UCACCCCACUGCACUCCAGCCUGGGCGACAGAGCAAGACUGACUCAAUUUAAAAAAAAAAAGAUAAAAAUGGUGCAUCUCUAUAGGGCGUUUACCAUGCCUGGAGCUUGUGGGACUGGAAGUUGCUCUGAUACGCAGCCUGGUCUACAGGAAGAAUUCUAUGUAUAUUUGCUGAAGAGACAAAGAAGGAUGUGGAUGAAUUGGAUGUGGAGAAUGAGAGGAAAGAAAAUGUCAAGGAUGGCUCUAAUUUCUGGCUUAUGCAACUGAGUGGUGCCAUUGAGAGAGACUCUCUCUCUUGCCUUCUUGGUUGGCACACUGGGGAGAAGCGAGCUGCAGCGUUGGAGAGGCCCAUGUGGCAAGGGACUGAGAGCAGCCUCUGGCCAACAGCCGGUAAGCAACCAGUGAGCAACCGAGGCCCUCAGUCCCACAGCAUGUGAGGAACUGAGUCCUGCCAAUGAUCAUGUGAUACUGAAGGAGGGUCUUUCUUUAGCUGAUCCUACAGAUGAGAAUCUAGCCCUUGUGCUGCCUCAUGAGAGACCCUGGAGCAGAGGCCCCAGCUGAGCUAUGCCUGGAUUCCUACCCACAGAAACUGGAAGACAAUAAAAGUGUCGUUUAUGUUUUUUUAUUCUGGUAAAAAUCAUAUAACAUGAAAUUUUUCCAUUCUAACCAUUAAAAACAUGUCUUUUUGUGUGUGUGAGACAGGGUUUCGUUCUGU
rnacentral:lncRNA from 1 species